AGUAUCGCGUAGGGAUUUAUCGUUGGGUGGGGGAUAACCGCGGGAAACUGCGGCUAAUACCGCAUGACGCCUGAGGGCCAAAGGUCUUAGGACUGCCUGAUGAGGAGCCUGCGUCCGAUUAGCUAGUAGGUUGGGUAAUGGCUGACCUAGGCUGUGAUCGGUAGCUGGUCUGAGAGGAUGAUCAGCCACACUGGGACUGAGACACGGCCCAG
rnacentral:rRNA from 1 species